rnacentral:snRNA from 1 species
GGAUGUGAGGGCGAUCUGGCUGCGACAUAUGUCACCCCAUUGAUCGCCAGGGUUGAUUCGGCUAAUCUGGCUGGCUAGGCGGGUGUCCCCUUCCUCCCUCACCGCUCCAUGUGUGUCCCUCCCGAAGCUGCGUGCUCAGUCGAAGAGGACGGCCUUCCCCGAAUAGAGAUGGACUGGUCUUGGUCUUUGGUCGAGGGUAUACGAGUAGCUGCGCUCCCCUGCUAGAACCUCCAAACAAGCUCUCAAGGUCCAAAAGAUUUUGGAAAGAUAUGGAGGUGGUGGAAGAGUUUGCAGUGGCUCUAGAACUGGACAACCAACACUG